UUUAAUGAGAGUUUGAUCCUGGCUCAGGACGAACGCUGGCGGCGUGCCUAAUACAUGCAAGUAGAACGCUGAAGGAGGAGCUUGCUUCUCUGGAUGAGUUGCGAACGGGUGAGUAACGCGUAGGUAACCUGCCUGGUAGCGGGGGAUAACUAUUGGAAACGAUAGCUAAUACCGCAUAAGAGUAGAUGUUGCAUGACAUUUGCUUAAAAGGUGCACUUGCAUCACUACCAGAUGGACCUGCGUUGUAUUAGCUAGUUGGUGGGGUAACGGCUCACCAAGGCGACGAUACAUAGCCGACCUGAGAG
rnacentral:rRNA from 1 species